rnacentral:rRNA from 1 species
UACGGAGGGUGCAAGCGUUAUCCGGAUUCACUGGGUUUAAAGGGUGCGUAGGCGGAUAGGGAAGUCCGUGGUGAAAUCCUGCAGCUUAACUGCAGAACUGCCGUGGAUACUCUCUAUCUUGAAUAUCGUGGAGGUUAGCGGAAUAUGUCAGUGUAGCGGUGAAAUGCUUAGAGAUGACAUAGAACACCCAUUGCGAAGGCAGCUAAACUACGCGAUCAUUGACGCUGAUGCACGAAAGCGUGGGGAUCAAACAGG